ACGAACGCUGGCGGCGUGCCUAACACAUGCAAGUCAACUUGACUGAAGGAGCAAUCUGACAGUAGAGUGGCGCAAGGGUGCGUAACGCGUAAGUAACUUGCCCCAAGGUAAGGAAUAACGUCGAGAAAUCGGCGCUAAUACCUCAUAAUGCAGCGGAUCCGCAUGGAUAUGUUGUUAAAGGUUUACCGCCUUGGGAUAGGCUUGCGUCUGAUUAGCUAGUUGGUGUGGUAACGGCACACCAAGGCUACGAUCAGUAACUGGUCUGAGAGGAUGAUCAGUCACACUGGAACUGAGACACGGUCCAGACUCCUACGGGAGGCAGCAGUGAGGAAUAUUGGGCAAUGCUCGAAAGAGUGACCCAGCAACGCCGCGUGGAGGAUGAAGGUAUUCUAUAUCGUAAACUCCUGUGAGAGCAGACGAAAGACAGAUUAUUAAUCUGGAUGACUGUAUGCUCAGAGGAAGCCCCGGCUAACUACGUG
rnacentral:rRNA from 1 species